rnacentral:rRNA from 1 species
AGUGAACGCUGGCGGUAGGCCUAACACAUGCAAGUCGAACGGCAGCACAGUAAGAGCUUGCUCUUACGGGUGGCGAGUGGCGGACGGGUGAGGAAUACAUCGGAAUCUACUUUUUCGUGGGGGAUAACGUAGGGAAACUUACGCUAAUACCGCAUACGACCUACGGGUGAAAGCAGGGGAUCUUCGGACCUUGCGCGAUUGAAUGAGCCGAUGUCGGAUUAGCUAGUUGGCGGGGUAAAGGCCCACCAAGGCGACGAUCCGUAGCUGGUCUGAGAGGAUGAUCAGCCACACUGGAACUGAGACACGGUCCAGACUCCUACGGGAGGCGGCAGUGGGGAAUAUUGGACAAUGGGCGCAAGCCUGAUCCAGCCAUACCGCGUGGGUGAAGAAGGCCUUCGGGUUGUAAAGCCCUUUUGUUGGGAAAGAAAAGCAGCAGGUUAAUACCCCGCUGUUUUGACGGUACCCAAAGAAUAAGCACCGGCUAACUUCGUG